AGCACCAAUUUAGAAAUCGAAGAGGGAAAUUCAACAGUCAAAGACACGCUAGCUUUCUCAAAAGCUGAGCUUCAACCCACGGGCAAAUCUUCUUUUCCAGAUUUAUCCGCACGUGUCACAUACUACCUCUACAAUCGACGAUGCUCAGAGCUCGAAGCGCCGAUUCCAGAUAUCAAUGAGGAAUCUGCUUUGCGGAAAUCACGAAUAGCUGGUCGAAAAUUUAUG
rnacentral:lncRNA from 1 species